AGAGUUUGAUCCUGGCUCAGGAUGAACGCUGGCGGCGUGCUUAACACAUGCAAGUCGAACGGUGAAGCCAUGCUUGCUUGGUGGAUCAGUGGCGAACGGGUGAGUAACACGUGAGCAACCUGCCCUGGACUCUGGGAUAAGCGCUGGAAACGGCGUCUAAUACUGGAUAUGUGACGUGAUCGCAUGGUCGUGUUUGGAAAGAUUUUUCGGUCUGGGAUGGGCUCGCGGCCUAUCAGCUUGUUGGUGAGGUAAUGGCUCACCAAGGCGUCGACGGGUAGCCGGCCUGAGAGGGUGACCGGCCACACUGGGACUGAGACACGGCCCAGACUCCUACGGGAGGCAGCAGUGGGGAAUAUUGCACAAUGGGCGAAAGCCUGAUGCAGCAACGCCGCGUGAGGGAUGACGGCCUUCGGGUUGUAAACCUCUUUUAGCAGGGAAGAAGCGAAAGUGACGGUACCUGCAGAAAAAGCGCCGGCUAACUACGUGCCAGCAGCCGCGGUAAUACGUAGGGCGCAAGCGUUAUCCGGAAUUAUUGGGCGUAAAGAGCUCGUAGGCGGUUUGUCGCGUCUGCUGUGAAAUCCCGAGGCUCAACCUCGGGCCUGCAGUGGGUACGGGCAGACUAGAGUGCGGUAGGGGAGAUUGGAAUUCCUGGUGUAGCGGUGGAAUGCGCAGAUAUCAGGAGGAACACCGAUGGCGAAGGCAGAUCUUUGGGCCGUAACUGACGCUGAGGAGCGAAAGGGUGGGGAGCAAACAGGCUUAGAUACCCUGGUAGUCCACCCCGUAAACGUUGGGAACUAGUUGUGGGGACCAUUCCACGGUUUCCGUGACGCAGCUAACGCAUUAAGUUCCCCGCCUGGGGAGUACGGCCGCAAGGCUAAAACUCAAAGGAAUUGACGGGGACCCGCACAAGCGGCGGAGCAUGCGGAUUAAUUCGAUGCAACGCGAAGAACCUUACCAAGGCUUGACAUACACCAGAACACCGUAGAAAUACGGGACACUUUGGACACUGGUGAACAGGUGGUGCAUGGUUGUCGUCAGCUCGUGUCGUGAGAUGUUGGGUUAAGUCCCGCAACGAGCGC
rnacentral:rRNA from 1 species